UACGUAGGCAGCAAGCGUUGUUCGGAGUUACUGGGCGUAAAGGGUGCGUAGGCGGCUUCUUAAGUCUGGUGUGAAAUCUCCCGGCUCAACUGGGAGGGUGCGCCGGAUACUGAGGGGCUAGAGUGUGGGAGAGGAAAGUGGAAUUCCUGGUGUAGCGGUGAAAUGCGUAGAUAUCAGGAGGAACACCUGCGGUGUAGACGGCUUUCUGGACCAUUGCUGACGCUGAGACACGAAAGCGUGGGUAGCAAACAGG
rnacentral:rRNA from 1 species